GAGGAAUAUUGGUCAAUGGACGGAAGUCUGAACCAGCCAAGUAGCGUGCAGGAAGACGGCCCUAUGGGUUGUAAACUGCUUUUGUAUGGGGAUAAAGUUAGGGACGUGUCCCUAUUUGCAGGUACCAUACGAAUAAGGACCGGCUAAUUCCGUGCCAGCAGCCGCGGUAAUACGGAAGGUCCAGGCGUUAUCCGGAUUUAUUGGGUUUAAAGGGAGCGUAGGCUGGAGAUUAAGUGUGUUGUGAAAUGUAGACGCUCAACGUCUGACUUGCAGCGCAUACUGGUUUCCUUGAGUACGCACAACGUUGGCGGAAUUCGUCGUGUAGCGGUGAAAUGCUUAGAUAUGACGAAGAACUCCGAUUGCGAAGGCAGCUGACGGGAGCGCAACUGACGCUUAAGCUCGAAGGUGCGGGUAUCAAACAGGAUUAGAUACCCUGGUAGUCCGCACAGUAAACGAUGGAUGCCCGCUGUUGGUACCUGGUAUCAGCGGCUAAGCGAAAGCAUUAAGCAUCCCACCUGGGGAGUACGCCGGCAACGGUA
rnacentral:rRNA from 1 species